rnacentral:rRNA from 1 species
UUGAACGCUGGCGGCAUGCUUUACCCCUGCAAGUCGCACGGUAACAGGCCUUCGGGUGCUGACGAGUGGCGAACGGGUGAGUAAUGCAUCGGAACGUACCCAGAGGUGGGGGAUAACGCAGCGAAAGCUGUGCUAAUACUGCAUGUGAUCUGAGGAUGAAAGCGGGGGACCGAGCAGCAAUGUUUGGCCUCGCGCCUUUGGAGCGGCCGAUGUCGGAUUAGCUAGUUGGUGGGGUAAAGGCCUACCAAGGCGACGAUCCGUAGCUGGUCUGAGAGGACGACCAGCCACACUGGGACUGAGACACGGCCCAGACUCCUACGGGAGGCAGCAGUGGGGAAUUUUGGACAAUGGGCGCAAGCCUGAUCCAGCAAUGCCGCGUGCGGGAAGAAGGCCUUCGGGUUGUAAACCGCUUUUGGCAGGAACGAAACGGUGUCCGCUAAUACCGGGCGCUAAUGACGGUACCUGCAGAAUAAGCACCGGCUAACUACGUG